GUAGAUAGAAAGGGGAAAGUUUGAAAAGUAGAAUGAAGAAUGUUAAGUAUCAAAGAAAAGAAUAAAAUAAGAAAAAGAGAAAAAGGAAAAAGAUAAAGUGGAAGGAAGAAAAGAGGGGCAAAUGGCUUAAAGUAUAAAUCUUCCGAAUUUAACUAAAAAUUAAAUGAAAUUAAAGAUAAUUAAGAAUGAAGUGAUUAAAAUUACGUAAAGAAAAUUCAGCUACUAAGAUUAAAGUCUAUAAAGGAAAAACAUGUUUCGAUUAUGAAUUGAAAUCUAAAAUAAUGUAUUUAAAAAUUCAUAUAUUGAAUUUAUUAUUUAAAAAU
rnacentral:lncRNA from 1 species